rnacentral:lncRNA from 1 species
UUUUGGUUUGGUUUUUUUCUGGGGGGGGGUUGGUAAAGAUUUAUUUAUUAUUAUACAUAAGUACACUGUAGCUGACUUCAGACACACCAGAAGAGGGCGUCAGAUCUCAUUACAGAUGGUUGUGAGCCACCAUGUGGUUGCUGGGAUUUGAACUCAGGACCUUCGGUAGAGCAGUUGGUACUCUUCCCUGCUGAGCCAUCUCUCCAGCCCAUGUUUUUUGAUUUUUGAUUUUUGAGACAGGGUUUCUCUGUGUAGCCUUGGCUCCUGGUCUAUAGAGCAAGUUCCAGGAUAGUUGGGGCUAUACAGAGAAAACCUGUCUCAAAAAAAAAAAAAAAAAGUCAUAUAUAAGUUUUUGAGGAACUGCCGUUAACAUGGAUUCUCAAGGGAAAAUGAAAAGAUUUCGAGUCUGUGUCCUAGAUAAUCCAUCCGUUACUCCCAUCAAGGGUUAAUUUGUGUUUGGGGGUGGGAGUUGUUGAAACAGGUUGUAACCCAUAUUGGCCUUGAACUCUUUAUCCCCCCUGCCUCAGCCUUCCAAAUGCUAGGUUCACAGCCUCGUGCCUCCCUGACUGGGAUCUGUCCAUGCCAACCCAGGUAAAUCCUCACAGCCCCUGGAAAGGGUUGGGUGGCUGUCGUCAACCUUGUCUUUAUAGGGGAGGCUGAGGUCUCGGACAGAAAAUACUGGUCCGGUGAUUCACCAGGCGGAAAUCUAACUCCAAACUGAUUCCCUCUGCAUCCUCAGUUGUGGAUUGUAAGAAAGCCCAGCACAGAAACUCUGACCAACCGCGUAAAGGCAGGCUGCUAGUCUGGGUACAGUAGCAGAACACCUGAAGCAUCUUGAAGCUCCUACCCGCCCUGUGAGCAGCUAGCUGUCUGUAGCCCACCUGCCUCAGAUUCUAUACAGCUGCUGGCUGUGUGCCCGUAUCAUUUAUAUAAUUUUAGUUCAUGCCCGGAUUCUGUAUUUUGUUAUUCCUCUGCCUCAGGAAGUAAGCCAUGGUUGCUUGGGCAUAUACCCCAUCUUCAAGAUUAAAAAUCAAAUUUAAAUAAAGUCAGGGUGACCUGUCAUCUGGGCCGUGUGUGAACAGCCUAAGCCAGGAUGGCAUCUGGAGGAAGCAUUUCCGUCGUGUGUCCUAGAAUCUCUAGAUCAACUCCCGUGACCCAUGGAGUUCCAAGCCCCCAUCACCUCUUCCAACCUCUACCUUCCUUUUUCC